rnacentral:rRNA from 1 species
AGAGUUUGAUCCUGGCUCAGGACGAACGCUGGCGGCGUGCCUAAUACAUGCAAGUCGAACGCUUCUUUCCUCCCGAGUGCUUGCACUCAAUUGGAAAGAGGAGUGGCGGACGGGUGAGUAACACGUGGGUAACCUACCCAUCAGAGGGGGAUAACACUUGGAAACAGAUGCUAAUACCGCAUAACAGUUUAUGCCGCAUGGCAUAAGAGUGAAAGGCGCUUUCGGGUGUCGCUGAUGGAUGGACCCGCGGUGCAUUAGCUAGUUGGUGAGGUAACGGCUCACCAAGGCCACGAUGCAUAGCCGACCUGAGAGGGUGAUCGGCCACACUGGGACUGAGACACGGCCCAGACUCCUACGGGAGGCAGCAGUAGGGAAUCUUCGGCAAUGGACGAAAGUCUGACCGAGCAACGCCGCGUGAGUGAAGAAGGUUUUCGGAUCGUAAAACUCUGUUGUUAGAGAAGAACAAGGACGUUAGUAACUGAACGUCCCCUGACGGUAUCUAACCAGAAAGCCACGGCUAACUACGUGCCAGCAGCCGCGGUAAUACGUAGGUGGCAAGCGUUGUCCGGAUUUAUUGGGCGUAAAGCGAGCGCAGGCGGUUUCUUAAGUCUGAUGUGAAAGCCCCCGGCUCAACCGGGGAGGGUCAUUGGAAACUGGGAGACUUGAGUACUGUAGGGGUAACUGGAAUUCCUGGUGUAGCGGUGAAAUGCGCAGAUAUCAGGAGGAACACCGAUGGCGAAGGCAGGUUACUGGGCAGUUACUGACGCUGAGGAGCGAAAGCAUGGGUAGCGAACAGGAUUAGAUACCCUGGUAGUCCAUGCCGUAAAC